rnacentral:lncRNA from 1 species
UCCUCUUUCUUGACCUUGUGAUUUCCUUAGGAAAGGCUAACCUAUGUUCAUCCAUUGUAACAUUUUGUUGAGAGUUUGAGACUUUGACAACCUUUCUCUUAAUCUGGUAGCUGGACAGUGGAUGUGUAUCAAUAUUGAAAGGUUCAUAAUUGCCUGAUAAUGGUUGUCCGGUCAUGAUUGGAUAGUGGUUAUGUAUCAGUUUUGUCAGGUCUUAGUAAGUCUUGGAUGGAUUUGUAGAAUGGAUUGGGCAUUCCAAACUUUGUUUUGCUCCAAAUAGACUUGCUGAUGAUGGUAUUUGAUUGUUCAUUGUUAUAAUAUUUAUAGUAACCUAUAUUCGCUUGGUUGUUCCCCGUUAUUCCAUUGUUUCUAUUAAUCAUCAUUUUGAACAAAAUACGGUGUGGUUUCAUAAUUUCAUUGCAUAUAUAAACCGGCAAUCAAAUGCACAGCCUCAGCUCCUGGUUGAGUCUCAUUUCAGCAACAUCCUGCUACAUGCAGAUGCCAUGUCUUAUAUUUGAUUUGAUUUAUUCAUGCACAAAUGAAGCUCAAG